AUUGAACGCUGGCGGAAUGCUUUACACAUGCAAGUCGAACGGCAGCACGGGGGCAGCCCUGGUGGCGAGUGGCGAACGGGUGAGUAAUACAUCGGAACGUGCCCGGUCGUGGGGGAUAACGUAGCGAAAGUUACGCUAAUACCGCAUACGAUCUGAGGAUGAAAGCGGGGGACCUUCGGGCCUCGCGCGAUCGGAGCGGCCGAUGUCAGAUUAGGUAGUUGGUGGGGUAAAGGCCUACCAAGCCGACGAUCUGUAGCUGGUCUGAGAGGACGACCAGCCACACUGGGACUGAGACACGGCCCAGACUCCUACGGGAGGCAGCAGUGGGGAAUUUUGGACAAUGGGCGCAAGCCUGAUCCAGCCAUUCCGCGUGCAGGACGAAGGCCUUCGGGUUGUAAACUGCUUUUGUACGGAACGAAAAGGCUCUGGCUAAUUCCUGGGGCUCAUGACGGUACCGUAAGAAUAAGCACCGGCUAACUACGU
rnacentral:rRNA from 1 species